rnacentral:rRNA from 1 species
GACGAACGCUGGCGGCGCGCUUAACGCAUGCAAGUCGAACGGAAAGGCCUGCUUUCCCUUGUGGAUUGCGGGUACUCGAGUGGCGAACGGGUGAGUAACACGUGAGUGAUCUGCCCCCAACUUGGGUAUAAGCCUGGGAAACUGGGUCUAAUUCCCGAUAGGACUGCAGGGUGGUGCCUGUGGUGGAAAACGAUUUUCUAGUGGUUGGGGAUGAGCUCGCGGCCUAUCAGCUUGUUGGUGGGGUAAUGGCCUACCAAGGCGGCGACGGGUAGCCGGCCUGAGAGGGUGGACGGCCACAUUGGGACUGAGAUACGGCCCAGACUCCGACGGGAGGCAGCAGUGGGGAAUAUUGCACAAUGGGCGGAAGCCUGAGGCAGCGACGCCGCGUGGGGGAUGACGGCCUUCGGGUUGUAAACUCCUUUCGACCGCGAGGAAGCCACCUGGUUGGAAGGGUGGUGACGGUAGUGGUAGAAGAAGCACCGGCUAACUACGUG